UACGUAGGGUGCGAGCGUUGUCCGGAAUUAUUGGGCGUAAAGGGCUCGUAGGCGGUCUGUCGCGUCGGGAGUGAAAACUCAGGGCUUAACCCUGAGCCUGCUUCCGAUACGGGCAGACUAGAGGUAUGCAGGGGAGAGCGGAAUUCCUGGUGUAGCGGUGGAAUGCGCAGAUAUCAGGAGGAACACCGGUGGCGAAGGCGGUUCUCUGGGCAUUACCUGACGCUGAGGAGCGAAAGUGUGGGGAGCGAACAGG
rnacentral:rRNA from 1 species